GGUCUAGGAUAUGAGUUAGCUUUUCAAAAUUGAGAACAAUUCUUAAAUUUCGGAGCCAGUCUUUGUAGUUUAUCCCAGUCAACCUAUUUGUGUCAAAGAUAUGGGCUAAAGGGUUUGAACUCAAUAUGAUUAUCUGUAAAGAGAAUAGUUUCUAGUUAGAUGUUUGUACUUAUUAAAUAUUUAUACUAGGAACUUUAAAAAUAAAUAAGGCUCUCACUAUUUUCUUGAAUCUCCCACUCCUUAGGUGGAGAAACAAAAAUUUAUAUGCGAUCGAUUUCUAGUGUUACUGCGGUCCCAUUGAUCUAUAUACACCUCCCUAAUAGUUAUUGGUGAGCACAGACUAAUGAGUGGACAAUACUUUGUCCAUUGCUUCAUUAAGCAAGAUGCAGUGGGUUCGGUCUUUAAGUCCUGUGACCUCACCUAAUAGUUAUUGACAUAUUUUUUAGUUAAGUUAGACCCAUCGUUCACCAACGGAUACAAAGCCGUCAUUAGAUCCCUCACCUAAUAGUUGUUGGAUCCAACCCCAUCUCUGCCCCAGGAUAUCUAGUACCAAUAGUGGUUAUACCUUUUCGAUGUAACUGAACUAUUGUAACCAGUCGAGAAUGAUCAAUGCCAGGAAGGCACCUGCAUCUCUAUAACGGUGGAAGAUCGCUAGACUUAAUAUUUAGUGAGGAGAUUUAAGUUUAGAUCUCUUCUAAGUCAGCAGAUCUGAUAUCUAACUGAUCAAGUUCAGAUCAGCACAAUCAUACGUCUGACCAACU
rnacentral:lncRNA from 1 species